GUUUGUUUGGCCGUUACCACCAGAUUAAGCACCGGCUAAUUUCGUGCCAGCAGCCGCGGUAAUACGAAAGGUGGCAAGCGUUAAUCCGAAUUACUGGGCGUAAAGCGCACGCAGGUGGUAGAGUUUGAUCCUGGCUCAGAUUGAACGCUGGCGGCAGGCCUAACACAUGCAAGUCGAGCGGAUGAAGGGAGCUUGCUCCUGGAUUCAGCGGCGGACGGGUGAGUAAUGUCUAGGAAUGGGCCUUGGAGUGGGGGAUAACGUCCGGAAACGGGCGCUAAUACCGCAUACGUCCUGAGGGAGAAAGUGGGGGAUCUUCGGACCUCACGCUAUGACAUGAGCCUAGGUCGGAUUAGCUAGUUGGUGGGGUAAAGGCCUACCAAGGCGACGAUCCGUAACUGGUCUGAGAGGAUGAUCAGUCACACUGGAACUGAGACACGGACCAGACUCCUACUGCUGGCAGCAGUGGGGAAUAUUGGACAAUGGGCGAAAGCCUGAUCCAGCCAUGCCGCGUGUGUGAAGAAGGUCUUCGGAUGUAAAGCACUUUAACUUGGGAGGAAGGGGGAUGAGUUAAUACCAAGAUGUUUUUACAUUGCCGUUAUCAAUAAGAACACGGCUAACUUCGUGCCCGCUGCCCGCGGUAAUACGAAGGGUGCAAGCGUUAAUCGGAAUUACUGGGCGUAAAGCGCGCGUAGGUGGUUCAGCAAGUUGGAUGUGAAAUCCCCGGGCUCAACCUGGGAACUGCAUCCAAAACUAAUGAGCUAGAGUACGGUAGAGGGUGGUGGAAUUUCCUGUGUAGCGGUGAAAUGCGUAGAUAUAGGAAGGAACACCAGUGGCGAAGGCGACCCCCUGGACUGAUCAUGACACUCAGGACACCAUGGGAGUGGGUUGCUCCAGAAGUAGCUAGUCUAACCGCAAGGAGACGGUACCACGGAGGAUCCA
rnacentral:rRNA from 1 species